rnacentral:rRNA from 1 species
UGACCGCUGGCGGUAGGCCUAACACAUGCAAGUCGACCGGCAGCACAGUAAGAGCUUGCUCUUACGGGUGGCGCGUGGCGGACGGGUGAGGAAUACAUCGGAAUCUACUUUUUCGUGGGGGAUAACGUAGGGAAACUUACGCUAAUACCGCAUACGACCUACGGGUGAAAGCAGGGGAUCUUCGGACCUUGCGCGAUUGAAUGAGCCGAUGUCGGAUUAGCUAGUUGGCGGGGUAAAGGCCCACCAAGGCGACGAUCCGUAGCUGGUCUGAGAGGAUGAUCAGCCACACUGGAACUGAGACACGGUCCAGACUCCUACGGGAGGCAGCAGUGGGGAAUAUUGGACAAUGGGCGCAAGCCUGAUCCAGCCAUACCGCGUGGGUGAAGAAGGCCUUCGGGUUGUAAAGCCCUUUUGUUGGGAAAGAAAAGCAGCAGGUUAAUACCCCGCUGUUCUGACGGUACCCAAAGAAUAAGCACCGGCUAACUUCGUG